rnacentral:rRNA from 1 species
UACGGGGGGAGCAAGCGUUGUUCGGAUUUACUGGGCGUAAAGGGCGCGUAGGCGGUCGUGACAAGUCACUUGUGAAAUCUCCGGGCUUAACCCGGAAAGGUCAAGUGAUACUGUCGGACUAGAGUACAGAAGGGGCAACUGGAAUUCUCGGUGUAGCGGUGAAAUGCGUAGAUAUCGAGAGGAACACCUGCGGCGAAGGCGGGUUGCUGGGCUGAUACUGACGCUGAGGAGCGAAAGCGUGGGGAGCGAACAGG